rnacentral:rRNA from 1 species
UACGUAGGUGGCAAGCGUUGUCCGGAUUUACUGGGGGUAAAGAGCGCGCAGGCGGUCGAAUAAGUCGAAUGUGAAAGCCCCCGGCUUAACUGGGGAGGGUCAUUCGAUACUGUUCGACUUGAAGGCAGGAGAGGGCAGCAGAAUUCCCGGUGUAGUGGUGAAAUGCGUAGAUAUCGGGAGGAAUACCAGUGGCGAAGGCGGCUGCCUGGCCUGUUCUUGACGCUGAGGCGCGAAAGCUGGGGGAGCAAACGGG